GUAGACAGAAGCCUCGGUGGAAGAUUACUAAUGAGAGUGGCGAACGGGUGAGUAACGCGUGAGCAACCUGCCUAUGACAGUGGGAUAGCCUCGGGAAACCGGGAUUAAUACCGCAUAAAAUCGUAGAAACACAUGUUUUAACGGUCAAAGAUUUAUCGGUCAUAGAUGGGCUCGCGUCUGAUUAGCUAGUUGGUGAGAUAACAGCCCACCAAGGCGACGAUCAGUAGCCGGUCUGAGAGGAUGAACGGCCACAUUGGAACUGAGACACGGUCCAAACUCCUACGGGAGGCAGCAGUGGGGAAUAUUGCACAAUGGGGGAAACCCUGAUGCAGCGACGCCGCGUGAACGAAGAAGGUAUUCGUAUCGUAAAGUUCUGUCCUAUGGGAAGAUAAUGACAUACCAUAGAAGAAGUCC
rnacentral:rRNA from 1 species